rnacentral:rRNA from 1 species
UGCAGUCGAGGGGUAACGAUAUCUUCGGAUAGGCGACGACCGGCGCACGGGUGAGUAACGCGUAUGUAAUCUACCUUUAACAGGAGGAUAGCCCCGAGAAAUCGGGAUUAAUACUCCAUAGUAAUCUAAAGUGGCAUCACUUAAGGUUUAAAGCUCCGGCGGUUAAAGAUGGGCAUGCGUGACAUUAGUUUGUUGGUGAGGUAACGGCUCACCAAGACUACGAUGUCUAGGGGUUCUGAGAGGAUGAUCCCCCACACUGGUACUGAGACACGGACCAGACUCCUACGGGAGGCAGCAGUGAGGAAUAUUGGUCAAUGGACGCAAGUCUGAACCAGCCAUGCCGCGUGCAGGAUGACGGCCCUAUGGGUUGUAAACUGCUUUUAUUAAGGAAUAAACCCUCCUACGUGUAGGAGGCUGAACGUACUUAAAGAAUAAGCAUCGGCUAACUCCGUGCCAGCAGCCGCGGUAAUACGGAGGAUGCAAGCGUUAUCCGGAUUCAUUGGGUUUAAAGGGUUCGCAGGCGGCGCUUUAAGUCAGUGGUGAAAUCUCUCGGCUCAACCGAGAAACUGCCAUUGAUACUGGUGUGCUAGAGUAUAGUUGGCGUAGGCGGAAUGUAUCAUGUAGCGGUGAAAUGCUUAGAUAUGAUACAGAACACCGAUCGCGAAGGCAGCUUACGAAACUAUAACUGACGCUCAGGAACGAAAGCGUGGGUAGCGAACAGGAUUAGAUACCCUGGUAGUCCACGCUGUAAA